CCAACUAGGCACAAUAGAUCUUGCUUGAAGUUGAUGAAGUUUAGCUUUGCGCUAUCACAUUAGGAGAACCUAACUUCUCUUCACAAUCACUCUAGGAGAAUCUAGAAAGGUAUAUAUGGAAUUCCCAGCAAGAUGAUACAGCAUCUAUUCAAGAUGAGUUAUGCCAUGUACUGCAUUCUCAUCCCACUUUCAUCCUAAUUAUGCUGAUGUUAUAUUACCUAUCAACCAUUAGAUCAACUCCUGCUUUUUAAGAUGACAAAUUCAAGAAUGGAUUAAUAAUACGACAUCAUCAUGGUAGGAUAAGAGUGGGUGAGGCUGCAGCAUAUAGGAUUUUCCAUGGUAAUGUUAUAUACUUCAUUCAUAUCCUAAUUUCAUCCCACUUUAUAAAUGUACGUAGCACUUUCCAUCACUCUUUGGACCAUCUCAUAAUUUUUUUUAAAAAGAAUAAUUCAAAUGUUGAUAGGCAAUCAACCUAAUCAUAGUCGGAUAAAGGUCAAGCAUCUUCGGUGGAUUCACUCGACACGAUUCGUUUAACAAUUCAUUUGCAUGUUGAAUUGAAAAACUAUAGUACCAAAUGUGAAAGCAAUGAACUUGUGACUCUUUGU